CAAUAGCGUAUAUUAAAGUUGCUGCAGUUAAAAAGCUCGUAGUUGCAUUUCCGAGGCAAGGGAUUCGUCCGACCUUUGGUGGGUAUUUAAUCCUCUUGCCUCGUCCUUGAGUGGUGCUUCUUGGUAUUAAGUUAUCGAGGAGAUAGCCGCUCAUCGUUUACUGUGAGAAAAUUAGAGUGUUCAAAGCAGGCUUAUGCCGUUGAAUAUAUUAGCAUGGAAUAAUAAGAUAGGACCUCGGUACUAUUUUGUUGGUUUGAGAACCAAGGUAAUGAUGAAUAGGGACAGUUGGGGGUAUUCGUAUUCAGUUGUCAGAGGUGAAAUUCUUAGAUUUACGGAAGACGAACUACUGCGAAAGCAUUUACCAAGGAUGUUUUCAUUAA
rnacentral:rRNA from 1 species